rnacentral:rRNA from 1 species
AGUGAACGCUGGCGGUAGGCCUAACACAUGCAAGUCGAACGGCAGCACAGUAAGAGCUUGCUCUUACGGGUGGCGAGUGGCGGACGGGUGAGGAAUACAUCGGAAUCUACUUUUUCGUGGGGGAUAACGUAGGGAAACUUACGCUAAUACCGCAUACGACCUACGGGUGAAAGCAGGGGAUCUUCGGACCUUGCGCGAUUGAAUGAGCCGAUGUCGGAUUAGCUAGUUGGCGGGGUAAAGGCCCACCAAGGCGACGAUCCGUAGCUGGUCUGAGAGGAUGAUCAGCCACACUGGAACUGAGACACGGCCCAGACUCCUACGGGAGGCAGCAGUGGGGAAUAUUGGACAAUGGGCGCAAGCCCGAUCCAGCCAUACCGCGUGGGUGAAGAAGGCCUUCGGGUUGUAAAGCCCUUUUGUUGGGAAAGAAAAGCAGCAGGUUAAUACCCCGCUGUUCUGACGGUACCCAAAGAAUAAGCACCGGCUAACUUCGUG